rnacentral:rRNA from 1 species
GGGGUUGUGGGAUCACCACGUCGAUUCUGGCGGGUCGACAAAGAGUUAGAAAUGUUUUACGUAGUCGAAGGCCAUGCGAAAGGGCCGGCACAGAAGGUAAUACCCCUGUAGACGAAACGUAGGGCACUCUUUGGUGAUAUCCCAAGUAGCACGGGGCCCGAGAAAUCCCGUGUGAAUCCGGCGGGACCACCCGCUAAGCCUAAAUACUUCCUGAUGACCGAUAGCGGACAAGUACCGUGAGGGAAAGGUGAAAAGUACCCCGGGAGGGGAGUGAAAUAGUGCCUGAAACCGUGUGCCUACAAGCCGUUGGAGCCUGGAAGAUCUUCGGAUCAGGGUGACAGCGUGCCUUUUGAAGAAUGAGCCUGCGAGUUAGUGAUAUGUGGCGAGGUUAACCCGUGAGGGGCAGCCGUAGCGAAAGCGAGUUCGAAUAGAGCGAAUGAGUCGCAUGUUCUAGACCCGAAGCGGAGUGAUCUACCCAUGGCCAGGUUGAAGCGAAGGUAAGACUUCGUGAAGGACCGAACCCACCAAUGUUGAAAAAUUGGGGGAUGAGCUGUGGGUAGGGGUGAAAGGCCAAUCAAACUCCGUGAUAGCUGGUUCUCCCCGAAAUGCAUUUAGGUGCAGCGUCACGCGUUUCUUGUCGGAGGUAGAGCACUGGAUGGGCUAGGGGGCCUACAAGCUUACUGAACUCAACCAAACUCCGAAUGCCGACAAGUAAGAGCGUGGCAGUGAGACUGUGGGGGAUAAGCUUCAUAGUCGAGAGGGAAACAGCCCAGACCACCAACUAAGGCCCCUAAGCGUGUGCUAAGUGGGAAAGGAUGUGGAGUUGCAUAGACAACCAGGAGGUUGGCUUAGAAGCAGCCACCCUUAAAAGAGUGCGUAAUAGCCCACUGGUCAAGUGAUUCCGCGCCGACAAUGUAACGGGGCUCAAGCACAUCGCCGAAGUUGUGGCAUUCACACCGAUAACCCGGCCGUAAGGUCCAGGUGUGUGGAUGGGUAGGGGAGCGUCGUGUGGCGAGCGAAGCGGCGGGGUGACCCAGCCGUGGACGCCACACGAGUGAGAAUGCAGGCAUGAGUAGCGAAAGACGGGUGAGAAACCCGUCCGCCGGAUGACCAAGGGUUCCAGGGCCAGGCUAAUCCGCCCUGGGUAAGUCGGGACCUAAGACGAGGCCGACAGGCGUAGUCGAUGGACAACGGGUUGAUAUUCCCGUACCGGUUUACACACGACCAUGACGAGCCCAGUGAUGCUAAGCCCACAAAGUCGAGGAACUCUUCGGAGGGAAUCGGUGGAGUGCGCGAACCGAACUGGUAGUAGUCAAGCAAUGGGGUGACGCAGGAAGGUAGCUCAACCGCGGCGAUGGUAGACCGCGGCCAAGGUUGUAGGGCGAGAUGUAGGUAAAUCCGCAUCUCAUACGCCUGAGAACUGAUGGGGAGCCGACUUAGGCGAAGUGAGUGAUCCUAUGCUGCCGAGAAAAGCCUCUAGCGAGUGUGCAAGCCGCCCGUACCCCAAACCGACACAGGUGGUCAGGUAGAGAAUACCAAGGCGAUCGAGUGAACUGUGGUUAAGGAACUCGGCAAAUUGCCCCCGUAACUUCGGGAGAAGGGGGGCCGCGGCUGGUGAUGGGACUUGCUCCCUGAGCUGGCUACGGCCGCAGAGACCAGGUGGAAGCGACUGUUUACUAAAAACACAGGUCCAUGCAAAGUCGCAAGACGACGUAUAUGGACUGACGCCUGCCCGGUGCUGGAACGUUAAGGGGACCAGUCAGUUCUUCGGAGCGAAGCUGAGAACUUAAGCGCCAGUAAACGGCGGUGGUAACUAUAACCAUCCUAAGGUAGCGAAAUUCCUUGUCGGGUAAGUUCCGACCUGCACGAAUGGCGUAACGACUUCCACGCUGUCUCAACCGCAGACUCGGCGAAAUUGCACUACGAGUAAAGAUGCUCGUUACGCGUGGCAGGACGGAAAGACCCCGGGACCUUUACUACAGCUUGGUAUUGGUGGUCGGUUCGAUUUGUGUAGCAUAGGUGGGAGACUUGGAAGCCCGGACGCCAGUUCGGGUGGAGUCAUCGUUGAAAUACCACUCUGAUCGUAUUGGCUGUCUAACCUCGAUCCGUGAUCCGGAUUAGGGACAGUGCCUGGUGGGUAGUUUAACUGGGGCGGUUGCCUCCCAAAGAGUAACGGAGGCGCUCAAAGGUUCCCUCAGCCUGGUUGGCAAUCAGGUAUCGAGUGUAAGUGCACAAGGGAGCUUGACUGUGAGACUGACAGGUCGAGCAGGGACGAAAGUCGGAACUAGUGAUCCGGCGCCGGCAUGUGGAAGCGGCGUCGCUCAACGGAUAAAAGGUACCCCGGGGAUAACAGGCUGAUCUUGCCCAAGAGUCCAUAUCGACGGCAUGGUUUGGCACCUCGAUGUCGGCUCGUCGCAUCCUGGGGCUGGAGUCGGUCCCAAGGGU